AUUUAAAUACUGUCAACAAACUUGAAAACUAAUUAGUAGUGUGAACUAUAAAGUUAUUUUCUUCCAUUAUCUUUUAUAUACUAAAACACAAAGUCAAAACUCAAAACCAUAACGUAUUAUGUUGCAUAAUAGUAAUAAUUAAAAUAAUUAUAGGAAAUUCGAAAAGCUUUUAGAAACAGAAGUACGUCCACGUGGAGCGAGAUUAAAGGACAUCUAUAAAAUUGACAGCGUCAAGUCAACGUGCCGUCAAAGGGUAAAAAAAGUUAACGGAGAUCGAUAUUACACGGACCCCGGGAAAAGGUCACUAAUCUAAUCCGGGACUCCUCAUCUUCUGCCGUCGAACCAGCGACGGAGUAGACUCCGGCGACGAUGUCAGCACAUCGUCAACUUCAUCGUCUAAUGGAGAAAGUAGCGGCGAGGAAAAGAUCUCCACGGGAGAUAACGGCGGGGAAGAAGAGUCCGAAGAAUCAGGCGAGAGAGUCGACGGCGGCGGAGAAGAGUCCGACGAAUCAGGCGAGAGAGUCGACCGCGGCGGAGAAGAGUCCGACGAAUCAGGCGAGGAUGGUGAUGAGAACCUUGUCGCUUGCCCCGCUGGUAAUUCCCUGGGAAGUGAGUAUUCGGAUGGCCUGUUGCAUUUCUAUAAGAUGUCUUUCAUUCUAGUGAUGUAGAUGCACCCUCAUCUUUUGUAAUGUGACCAUGGUCAUUUUUCUCUCUGUUAAAGUCUUAAGUAGUGGUUUGUAUCUUCAUCUUGUAUACUGUGAUCAAUCCCAGUGCUCCGUAGUUUUACUUCUGGUUCUAAGGUAGUUCAUUUUUGCAGACUCCCUUGUUAAAAAAGAAGGCCAGCGAGCCUAUUUGAAGGCAGAAGACAAUGGGGGAAUUAGAGAAGAGAGUGAAAGAGAUACAGAUAGAACUGAUAAAAGUGCAGAGGCUGGCAGUAUUGAUACUGGAAAUCAAAAAAGUUCACCAUCUGCUUCGAAGUAUGUGGGAGUACCUAUAAAUGAACUUGAUCUUUCCGAGUGCGUUCAGUGUACGCCAAGUUAUCGGCUCCUUCCAAAGGAUGUGAGUGCCACGUUGUUCUUAAUAACAUCUUUAUACUACACUGCAAUUCACUGCAUAAUGCCAUUCUUUUAUAAUCAUAUGGUUGGUCUUUGUCCAUGCAGUAUCCAGUUGAGAUUCCAAGGUACAGGAAUGCACUUGGUAAAAAGAUACUUAAUGACCACCUGGUAUCCGUCACCUCAGGGAGUGAAGAUUACUCCUUCAGUCAUAUGCGCAAAAACCAGUAUGAAGAAAGCUUGUUUCGGUGUGAGGAUGACAGGUAUGAUCUGGUAGUUGAUGAAAUAAAAUCCCCCUCUUUAACAUUCCUAAUGUGUGUGCAGGUAUGAAAUGGACAUGUUACUAGGAUCUGUAAGUUCAGCUAUCAAACACGUGGAGAUCCUUCUGGAAAAGAUCAACAACAAUACAAUCUCUACGGACACGAUAUGCAUUGAAAAACAUUUAUCACGUAAGUCGUUAGUUUGCAACAAAUCUAGUGUGGCUAUAUUUUUGGUUGUUUGUGCUAAAGAACUUUAUAUAUGACUGUAUCUUAUAGCUAUGAACUUACGAUGCAUUGAGCGGCUAUACGGUGAUAAUGGGCUUGAUGUCAUGGAUCUUAUGAAGAAGAAUUUGCAUAGCGCUUUACCGGUGAUACUAACGCGCUUGAAGCAGAAGCAAGAAGAAUGGGCAAGGUGCCACUCUGAUUUCCAGAAAGUUUGGGCCGAAGUGUAUGCCAAGAAUCACCAUAAGUCACUGGAUCAUCGUAGUUUCUAUUUCAAGCAGCAGGACGCCAAGAACUUGAGCACAAAAUGUAAGCUUCUUUUUCAAUUUUUUUCUUAAUAAGUUCAUUGUGGGAAGAUCUGCUUCAAGCUAUUAAUGCCAUUGUUUUGUUGGGUCCUUAAAUGCAGGUUUAGUGGCAGAGAUAAAAGAUAUCAGUGAGAAAAAGCAUCAAGAAGAUCUGCUUCAAGCUAUCUCUGUCAGAACUAUGCCUUCUUUUACUCCGGAUUUGGAGUUCAAUUAUUGUGAUACACAAAUUCACGAAGACCUGUAUCUGUUAAUCAAGUACUACUGUGAAGAACUGUGCACGACUGAACAAGCAGAUAAAGUAAUGAAUCUGUGGACAACCUUUUUGGAGCCCAUGUUCGGCAUUGUUUCGAGGAGUCAAGGUAACCUGGCGAUGGACGAAGAGUUAAAAAGCAACAACCAAGAAUUGCAAGAUGGAUGUGUGGCAGUGAAGGACAGCGCUUCUGGGUCAAACCGUAAAAAGCAUCCAAGAUCCCCGGAAAAGCUGAAGAAGGAUAAUCCAGCAGUGCAAGGCAGCUCUCCUGGGAAAGAUGUGUCUUCCAAUAUAGUGAAAACAGUUAAGCACGAUAAACAGCAAGAUGAUGAAGCAUUGACUAAUGAGGUAAGUCGUUGUGUGGAGUUGUUUUAAACCAUAUCUUAGGUACUUCGGUUCUAAUAAAAUUCUUUAGUUACGAGUUUGAUCCCUAACCUUGGUUCAUGGUCUACAGCUUAUCCAGUCGUCGAAGCUGGUGUCCCCAAGAAACGAUCAGAUAACUGAAAAUGUAGAGAUUCGUAAGGCUAAGGAAGUAUCAGUUGAGGUUGAGCGGGAAGAGGGUGAAUUAUCUCCCACAGGCACUUGUGAGGUGGCUAAUGGACCCGAAGGUGAAGAUGGAUCCUCCGCAUUUUCAGAAAGGUUUCUGGAAACUAUAAAACCUGUUGCCAAUCAUGUGCCUGGGCCAUUGAAAGCUACUGAAACUGGCUCCCAGAAUGAUUCUCGAGUUUUCUACGGGAAUGAUUCCUGUUAUGUGCUAUUUAGGUUUCAUCAAGUAAGGACUGUUUAAAGCAAGCUUUAAUAUGAUAGUUUCAAUCUCCGGUGCUAAUACUUCUGCUCGUUUUCAGAUGUUGUACGAGAGGAUGCAAUCAGCAAAGAAACAGGCAGAAAAGAAGGGGAAGGCUCCAGAUAACACAACUCCUGAUUCUUAUUCAAGGUGAUGUAUCUUCUAAGUUAACAUUUUUUUUUUCUUUAACAACGGUUCCUUACUGACUUUUGGAAGCAUAACACUAUUAGGUUCAUGGAUGCACUCUAUAAUUUACUUGACGGCUCUAGUGACAAUACAAAGUAUGAAGAUGAGUGCCGCUCUGCUUUUGGUGCACAGUCCUAUGUUCUUUUCACAUUGGACAAGCUAGUUCAGAAGCUUGUUAAGCAGGUAAGAACAAACUAAAUUCAUGUCUCCUUAACUCUCUGCGUCCAUUCUCUCUUGCCUGAUUCAUUGGAAUGGUUUGGAUAUGUUUCAGCUCCACGCCGUUGCAUCUGAUGAGACAGACACCAAGCUUGUGCAACUAGACGCAUAUGAGAACUGCAGAAAGAAGGGAAGAUUCUUUGAUCUAGUGUAUCAUGAGAAUGCACGUGCCAUUCUCCACGACGCAAACAUAUACCGGAUCAGAUAUGUAGGUUUUCUCCCAAACUUCAAAUCUUUUUUUCCAUUCGAGUCUUAGUUUAUUAAUAUCAUUUUGGAACUUAUUUUGCAGUCGUCGGUGGAAACUACUCUCUCGAUUCAGCUUAUGAACAGUCAUCCUGAAGUAACGGGUACAGCGAUGGAUCCAGGUUUUGCAGACUAUCUGCAAAAUGAUUUUCUGACAUCGGUCAAUGAUGAAGAGAAGCACGGAGUGUUUCUGAAAAGGUGAAGGAAGCAUUGAUAAGAGCAUGUGGUGUAUAUAUGUUUUCUUUGGUUCUGGAGUAAUGUUUAAGCUAACUCUCUGCAGGAACAAGGAGAAACUCACCGGUAUAGAUGAAUCUUCGGGGAUGCUUGUUGCAAUGGAAGGAUUAAAUGUUAUAAACGGGAUUGAAGCUAAGAUGGCUUGCAGUACUUCAAAGGUACAAAACAUAUCAUGAGUUUUUGUAUAUUUGCAGAUGAAUGAAACUUUACUUUGCCUCCCAAUGAUUCAAACUGCUGUGUAGGUGAAGUAUAUAGCAAACACAUCAGAUCUUUUGUACAGAAGCAAGCAGAGGAAACGGAACCCAAUGGGACAGAGGCUUAAAAGAAUCAGCGAAAUCUCAAAACAGAGGAGAAUAUCGCGGUUUCACAUUAUGCUCAAUUGCAAAACCAUGGCCUUGCCGUCUCUAUAAGCACGUACUUACUCCAGUUCUUUCUCUCUAACAUCGUAUCUUCCUUUUGAUGUAAUGGUUCGUCAUUUACUAGACUUCAACGUUGUGUUUUUUUAAUUGUUUCAGGUGUUAGUGCUGAGGUUCUUAGUGGCAAAGGUUCUUUGACUCUUAUUAGAGAUUAUGCAAAGUUUUGGUGGUGUAGGUGUGAUCAUCAUAUGGCUCAUGAUUCAUCACUACGCAACCUUUUUGUUUCCGCCAGUUUUGGACCUUUUGGUGUAUAGUUUUUAUUAGAAUAUUAUAUUGUAUGAUACGAAAGUUUGCAACAUCGGGGAGUAGUAAUUUCUACAUUCAACAACUCUUUCAUUUCAUGUUUAUUAGUCUUAAAAAGAAGAUCUCCUAUAUCAUUCAAUAUCAUGAGUUUAAGUUAGUAACAACACACAUGAGACUUUGGUUUAAUGUGAUUUGGUCUUACAUGUCAAGACUAAAGCAUAAAAACGUUGGAAGACGCAUGCAACAGCGACCGGGGCGCUACAGUAGCCAAAGAUGACAAGAGAGAAAAAGGAAGAUAUAUUCAUUGCCCACAUGAAGGUGACAAAACGCAAACCAAUGAAAAUAUUUGUUAUUAUUGCCUUUUUUAAAAAAAAUUACGCCAAACGUGAGGAGCAUCCUUUAGGGAUGAUCUUGUUGUCGACAAUAAUUAAAUGGGUUUUGUUGGUAUAUAUAUAUACAUUGUAUCUAGAUUUUUCAAUAUUGAAAUUCUCCUUCCGAUGUGGUUGGUUGUCAUUAACAGCACAUGAUGAGGUUAUACUAAUAUAAUCCUUUAAUGUUAAGUAACUUUUGUAUAUCGCAUCCAUGUGAAGAUCAUACUCAAAUCAAAAUGGAGUUGUAAACAUAAAUUCUACAGUUUUAAAGAAACGCUCAAAAUAAGCGCCACAGACAACGGAUCUGUAAAGACUAUAUAUGGAGAUAUAUGCCUUCAAGAAAGGGAACAAUAGUUGCCCAUUUCCAGCCUUUUUUUCUUUUUUUUUUUCUUGCUUUCUUUAUACACAUGUACAUAUGCAUAAUAUGAAUGAUGCAUCCACUUCUUUGUAUAUUAGUAAUAUUUUUUGUUUUUGAGUUUACAUUGUGUACUAAAAUUUUCAUCAAAAACUUGCUUAUGCUCUUAAGUCUCACCUAUAUCUUUAUCUUGUAUCAAGUUCAGACGUUAUCAGUUACUUAUUUUGUAAAAAGCAUUAGCUCUUGGAUUCUUGAAUUUUUCAGAUCUAGUUAAGUUAUUGAUAAUAGAUACGUCCGGCGUUUUACAAAUGCUAUAAGCGUUUUAACUUAAUUAAAGAUGUCAAACCAAAACUAUCUUCAAUAAAUGUAGCCAAGUACACAAUAUUUGAACAAUUGAUCCUAAAGAUAUCUAUACUUUUUUCUCUAAAUAGCUUUUCAAUACAGAAAUGAUCAAGUAAGAGCACACACCAAAUAAAAGACAAAGUGGUAGGCUCUAAUGAGUCGUUUGUGCUAACUAGUUGAUGGUACUACUACGUUCGAUAUGUAAAUAAUUUAAAUACUGUCAACAAACUUGAAAACUAAUUAGUAGUGUGAACUAUAAAGUUAUUUUCUUCCAUUAUCUUUUAUAUACUAAAACACAAAGUCAAAACUCAAAACCAUAACGUAUUAUGUUGCAUAAUAGUAAUAAUUAAAAUAAUUAUAGGAAAUUCGAAAAGCUUUUAGAAACAGAAGUACGUCCACGUGGAGCGAGAUUAAAGGACAUCUAUAAAAUUGACAGCGUCAAGUCAACGUGCCGUCAAAGGGUAAAAAAAGUUAACGGAGAUCGAUAUUACACGGACCCCGGGAAAAGGUCACUAAUCUAAUCCGGGACUCCUCAUCUUCUGCCGUCGAACCAGCGACGGAGUAGACUCCGGCGACGAUGUCAGCACAUCGUCAACUUCAUCGUCUAAUGGAGAAAGUAGCGGCGAGGAAAAGAUCUCCACGGGAGAUAACGGCGGGGAAGAAGAGUCCGAAGAAUCAGGCGAGAGAGUCGACGGCGGCGGAGAAGAGUCCGACGAAUCAGGCGAGAGAGUCGACCGCGGCGGAGAAGAGUCCGACGAAUCAGGCGAGAGAGUCAACGGCGGCGAAUCUUUUGGAAGCUUCCGUUUGUUACCGUUAGAAUGUUUAACGUCUCUGGCUAAAUAGUU
rnacentral:lncRNA from 1 species